GGACUACCCGGGUAUCUAAUCCUGUUUGCUCCCCACGCUUUCGUGCCUCAGCGUCAAUCAUCGUGAAGUAAGCUGCCUUCGCUAUCGGUGUUCCAUGUCAUAUCUAUGCAUUUCACCGCUACAUGACAUAUUCCGCUUACCUGCGCGAUAUUCAAGACUUAUAGUAUCAAUGGCAGUUUCCAGGUUAAGCCUGGAGAUUUCACCGCUGACUUACAAGCCCGCCUACGCACCCUUUAAACCCAGUGAAUCCGGAUAACGCUUGCACCCUCCGUAUUACCGCGGCUGCUGGCAC
rnacentral:rRNA from 1 species